GAGAGUAACUGUUCACCCAGUGACGGUAUUUAACCAGAAAGCCACGGCUAACUACGUGCCAGCAGCCGCGGUAAUACGUAGGUGGCAAGCGUUAUCCGGAUUUAUUGGGCGUAAAGCGAGCGCAGGCGGUCUUUUAAGUCUAAUGUGAAAGCCUUCGGCUCAACCGAAGAAGUGCAUUGGAAACUGGGAGACUUGAGUGCAGAAGAGGACAGUGGAACUCCAUGUGUAGCGGUGAAAUGCGUAGAUAUAUGGAAGAACACCAGUGGCGAAGGCGGCUGUCUGGUCUGUAACUGACGCUGAGGCUCGAAAGCAUGGGUAGCGAACAGGAUUAGAUACCCUGGUAGUCCAUGCCGUAAACGAUGAUUACUAAGUGUUGGAGGGUUUCCGCCCUUCAGUGCUGCAGCUAACGCAUUAAGUAAUCCGCCUGGGGAGUACGACCGCAAGGUUGAAACUCAAAAGAAUUGACGGGGGCCCGCACAAGCGGUGGAGCAUGUGGUUUAAUUCGAAGCUACGCGAAGAACCUUACCAGGUCUUGACAUCUUCUGCCAACCUAAGAGAUUAGGCGUUCCCUUCGGGGACAGAAUGACAGGUGGUGCAUGGUUGUCGUCAGCUCGUGUCGUGAGAUGUUGGGUUAAGUCCCGCAACGAGCGCAACCCUUAUUACUAGUUGCCAGCAUUCAGUUGGGCACUCUAGUGAGACUGCCGGUGACAAACCGGAGGAAGGUGGGGACGACGUCAAAUCAUCAUGCCCCUUAUGACCUGGGCUACACACGUGCUACAAUGGAUGGUACAACGAGUCGCGAAACCGCGAGGUUUAGCUAAUCUCUUAAAACCAUUCUCAGUUCGGACUGUAGGCUGCAACUCGCCUACACGAAGUCGGAAUCGCUAGUAAUCGCGGAUCAGCAUGCCGCGGUGAAUACGUUCCCGGGCCUUGUACACACCGCCCGUCACACCAUGAGAGUUUGUAACACCCAAAGCCGGUGGGGUAACCU
rnacentral:rRNA from 1 species